rnacentral:piRNA from 1 species
UCCCUCAGAUCUGGAUAGUUAGCCUCCA